UACAGAGGCCCCAAGCGUUAGGCGGAAUCACUGGGCUUAAAGCGUGUGUAGGUGGAUGCCUAAGUACCUUGUGAAAUCCCACGGCUUAACCAUGGAAUUGCUUGGUAUACUGGGUGUCUUGAGCCACUCAGGGGCUACCGGAACAAACGGUGGAGCGGUGAAAUGCGUAGAUAUCGUGUGGAACGCCAAUGGUGAAAACAGGUAGCUGGGGGUGUGCUGACACUGAGACAAGAAAGCCAGGGGAGCAAACGGG
rnacentral:rRNA from 1 species